UACGAGGGGGGCUAGCGUUGUUCGGAAUCACUGGGCGUAAAGCGCACGUAGGCGGAUUGUUAAGUCAGGGGUGAAAUGCCAAGGCUCAACCUUGGAACUGCCUUUGAUACUGGCAAUCUCGAGUCCGGGAGAGGUGAGUGGAACUGCGAGUGUAGAGGUGAAAUUCGUAGAUAUUCGCAAGAACACCAGUGGCGAAGGCGGCUCACUGGCCCGGUACUGACGCUGAGGUGCGAAAGCGUGGGGAGCAAACAGG
rnacentral:rRNA from 1 species